CGUCGGUCGCGUUCGUAUGCAUAUAUUCGAAUUAUAUACUUCUAUGCGUGCAGUGUACAACGCACAAAACUAGUUCGGGAACGAGGAAGUGCCAGCGCAGGAUGCGACAACGAUAAGGAAGUACACGCGAUUCUAGUCAAUCGAUUUGAACGCAAUCGAAGCGGGAAGCACGCGGUUCCUGUCGAGAUAGAAGAAGCCGGCGAGACGCGAAAGACGAUAAGAAUAUAAUAUAAUAAUAUGUAUAUUCGAGUACACGUCAUUAUUGCAGACGCAUCUCACCCUACAGUAUGGUCGUGACUCGUGGCCAAGUGACUUUUCGAGCGGCCGGAACGUUGCGACUUGGGAAAGUGGAAAAUAACGAACUCGUCGAGGAUGUGACUUUUCACAUCGUUGUAUUAUACAAAAAUAAUAGAUUAAAAAAUUCCCACGCCAGACGUCCGUGAAUUUCGAGUGCACCACAUCAUUUGUUUUUUAUACCUACUUACAUUGAUAAAGUACAACAGUCCAGUAUAAUAUUUUCACCAGCCCAAAUUGUAUACACACAUUAUAUACGUACAAUAUACAUAGGUACAUGGCUGGCUACUGAUUGGCUGCGUAGUUUAGUCCAGUUUUGCCGGCAGAGAGAGAUCCGCUAUGGGUUUAUUUACAUCUGAAGUAUCUAAUUUACGACACUAGUGAUUAUAAAGAUAAAUUCUCAACGGAAAAAUUGGCUGAAUGUAUAAAUACUGCUAACGGAUUGUGCAGCGAGAUCCAAAAACCGACUAUAAGACGUGAGAUGUCAUUCCCGACAGCUUAUAAUAUCAUCCAAUCGCGAUACUUUCGAAGUAUGAUUUUUGAAAAUUAUAUUUCUUUAUUAUUAAAAAACCACAAUUACGGUACAGGGUUUUUUUAGUUUACAUAACCUCGAUGUAAUAACGGUUUGAAAAAAAAUAUUAAAAUGUUCGUUUACCCGUUUCAGGCACGACAGCGAGGCUGUUUGGUGUAUAUUAUACAGUUGUGUUGGCACGAUAACGUAUGCGGCGAGGUUAGGACAUAAUAUUCAGUUAAGUGUUAUGUUUAGGUAGCGCUCCACCGAUGGUCGUCCUACUACCGGCCAUUUUGCCCGAACGUGACCAUCGGGCAGCUGAAAUGACCCCGGAAGUGCUCGGCCGGCCCUCAUAAUCCCGUUCCUCGCUGCAGUCGGUACCGCGUAUACAAUGCAACAGUAAUAUAAUAAAUCGCCGCGUGCGGUGGGGUCGUCGGUGUUUUCAUUGACCCUUGUAGUCAUCUGUGCAAGGGGGUGGGGGGUUGCGCGCGCCGCGAGGGACCGACCCCUGCAGUAACUACAAUAUAUACGGUCGCUGACCAAAACACGUUGUCCCCGUUUGACCCUUUGCCGUGGAUUUCCGUCAAUAAACAAAAAGGAAACCAGUCCUUCGCCUGCCAACCCCUACAUACCCCAACCAUCCAUAUAUAGCUACAACUGGCCUAUUACGCGCUUACCUACGAGUAUAGCAUUCGUAUUAUACGGCAGUUAGUGGUCCCCCGUGUAGACAUCAUAUUAUGUGUUCAUAUUAUCGGGUCUGAAGCGCACGAUUUAUGCGUCGAUUUAUCGACUCGAAAGGAGCUGGUACAAAAAAUAUUACAAAUCGAUUCGAUUCGAAUGUACUAGGUAAGUUAUUAUUAUUUCAGGUACCAUGAUUUUCAACCAACGACCGCCUGGCUUGCCAACUGAUUCAAACGGCGUAUAUUCACCAUGGAAUCGGUAGAAUAUGAGUCAUAUGACGACGAUGAGUUCGCCGAACAAUAAACUAAAACCGUUAUAGUAUACUAACCGUUCAUUCUGUUUUUACUCUAUGACCAUAUGCUCUAACGUUCAGAUUUAUAUAUUAUAUUCACAUCAUCAGUUUUAAUGUUUAUCGACAGAGUUAUAGUCAAACGCCCUACAAUGUCCACCGAGACGUAUUUUUAUAAUAUUCAUCUAAUACUGGAAUUUUUUUAUUUUGUAAACGAAUGAAACGAACAUCAUUUGUGUAACAAAAUAGGUGAGUAGGAUUCAGUGUUUGGCAAGUUCCUUAUAAAAAGGAAUUCGUUCCGUUCCUUGUUCCUUAAAAAAAAAAUAAUUCGUUCCUUUGUCGUUCCUUUGGAAAAUGAACGAGUUCCUUUUUUAGUUCCAAAUAAAAUAAAAAUUUUUAUUUAAUGACUUAUGAUUUUUUUUUCAUAUGCAUACUUCUUUCAUUUUUAAUUAUAAUAUAUAACUACAAGUAUAGGAAGGUACAUAUUUUAUAAUUCUAUUUUGAGAUUUUCUUCAAAAUUAAAUUGUUGGCUAACGUAUGCCGAUUGUCUUAAAAUCAAUACUCGAUAACGAUCACUAAUUAGCAAUAUACAUUAUUCACAUUAAAAAAAAUCUUAAUUUCAAUUAUUUACAUAAUUAUCUGUGUAAAUUAUUGGAACUAGAAAAGAACGAACAAUUUUGUUAUUUUUCCUUGAAAAAAAGAACUAGUUCAUUUCCUCGUUCUUUUUUUAUAAAAAGGAAUUCGUUCCAGGAAUUCGUUGCUUUUGGAACUCGUUCCUUCCAAACACUGGUAGGAUUACUACUGCAGAGCGACACCGAAUCCUGCUUUAAGUGGACUAUGAUGAUAAAUAAUAAUAUAUACAACACAAAUUGGUUUCACGGAGUACGGAAAAUUUCCAUUCCUAGUAAAUGAGUGUGUGUUUCCUUAUUUCAUCUAACAAGAUUAAUAGGGACAUGGCCGUUUUCAGCCAAAAUUGUACCCUUUCUUUUUUGGCCGAUUCACUUUUCGACUAAACCAAUAAUUUGAAUAUCUACUUUCUGUUAUACAUAUUAUCGAAAAUUAUUAAAAAUAUAAGUUGUAUACAAUUUAUAUAGGUAAUAAUGUAAUAUACAAAAUAAGAAUAAUGAUAUAUAUUUUUGUAAGUAAUUAUUUGAUCAAUAUUUUCAGUUAUUAUAAGCAUGCUUAUAUUUUGUACACAUUUAUAGGUAGAUAGGUACCAAAUUUACAUUACACAUAAUACAGAAAAUUAUCACAAAUAUUAAAACUAUAAGUUAUAUAAAAUGUUUUUAUUUAUGUAUCUAAUUAUUAUUAACCAAAUAAUCAAUGACAACAAUUAUAUAGGUUUUAAUACAUAUAUUAUCAAAUAAUAUCAAUAAAGUUUUAUAGUAUACUAAAUGUAUAAUAUAAAGUAAAUAUUAAACUUUUUGGUUGGCCAAAAAGUGAAUCGUCUGAAAAUGGAAAGAUACGAUUUUGAUUGAAAACUGUAUCACCCAUUAAUAGCUGUAACGUCAUACCCGUUUUAAUCAGAAUAAUUUUUAUACUGUCCUAAAUUAUACCAAAAAUUAUUAAUGCUAUUUGAUAUUGUUUUAAUGUGCGAAGAAUAUUGUGCUUUUUAUGUAGGUAUAGGUACUAUUAAGUAAAUUCUAGGUAAAUAAAUAUUGAAAAGUUUUGUAUGAUUAGGAACAUGGUGUAUACUACUUAUCUGUAUAAUAUAAAAAUAAAAAUAUUUUUUUAUAAUAUACCACUUUUCUAAUAUAUUUACAUGUAAAGGUCGUUUCAUCAAAAACCACAAUGAAAGUAACAAAACUAUUACUCUUUUUAACUAUAUACCUUACUAUACGUUUGGUUAAACUGAAUCUGAUUAAUUAGACAUUUUGUUGUUUAUAAAGUGAUGAUUAUUAAUAAGUUCACCACAAAUUAGUGAAUUUUGCCGCAAUUACAUAAUACAGCACAUUUCGUCAUCUAGAUAAUAUAUUAGGUACCUAUAUUGAACGUUAUAACGAUUAAACCGGAUAUUACACCAAAUUAAAGAGAAUACUAUAAUAUUGUUAUAGUGCAGGAAUCGUGACUUGCGCACCGUGUUCGCCGCGUGCGCUAUACGAAUUACAAAACCGUGUCGUGACCAAAGCCAAAACCGCACAAGACUUAGGUACACACAUAUAAUACGAUUAGACGAUUUUCGGUACCCUCAGCGUGGGCAUAUAAUAGUGGUACAGAGCAGUUUCUUCCCGUUAUAUUAUAUUAUUAUGGUCCCCUAUAUAUGUAUAAGUCCAUGCGAUGAUCCCUCUGGGUAUUCCAGGCGUGGGAGGGGGGCAAUUUUGAUAACCGGACGCCCGUGUUGACACAGCGAUUGAAUCCUCCUGCGAACGUCCCACUCGCCAUCCGUCCGACCUGCCACAGGUCUUUCGUAGGUCUACCUUCACACACACACACACACACACACACACACACACACACACACACACACACACACACACACACACACAUAUACACAUAUGCAGUUGCGUGUAGGUAUCCGCGUGCAAACAAUGCGUCCUCCCUCCUAGUGUUUGUUCAUGGCUCUCCAGAAAUUACGAUACCGGAAAGUCAAACAGUAUUACGGAUACAAUACAUACGUACGUACAAAUUACAAUAUUAUUAUAUGAUAUAUACAGAAGUACAAUCUCUGUAAUCAGGCUGGGAAAAAACGGGAUUAGAUGAUCAGAAGAACUGAUGGUAUUGAGAAAAUUAAGUUAUACAUGAAGAACCAUUCCUUAUUAAGCGAAAAAAUUAAAACACAAGACCUACCAAUAUAAAAAUAUAUAAAGUAAUUAAAAUUAAAAUUGUUUAGUUUGUUAUUAAUAAAAAUAAUUUAUAACGAUCUACUUAUAAUGCAUAAUAGGUAGGCACUUACGCAAUAAUUUAAUUACAAGUAAAUAAUAAUACAUAAUAAUAAACAUUAUAUAAUACAUUAUAUACACAAGAUGUAUUUCCAGUAGUCUGGAUUUUUGGAUAAUCUGAUCCAGCUCUGGUCCCAUAUGUGUCGGAUUAAUGACUGUAUAAUAUUGAAAGUAGUGGACGAUUCGGGCUGAAAACGUUUGAAUAUGAUCUACAAGGUCAGACACAAAUGGCGUUCGAAGUGAGUUUCACCUAUUACGGCGCGAUAUUUCAUAGACGAUUUGACGCCCGUAGUCAUGAUAUUUAAUAGUUAUAAACAGAAUGGGAAUUGACAGCACGACGAAGUGGAUGAAUAGGUCGGGUGUGUGGUAAAUGUCCGAUCAUCGGAUAUUUUGACAUACAUCAUGUUAACUCAACACGACGCAACAGCUGCGUUCGAAAAGCAUACAUGAUAUUUAUAGAUUAAAUUAGGUAAGUCACUCGGUUUUUGAAAAAUAAAAUAAUUUUUUUUAUAUGACCAAAAAAUAUGAGCUGCAGAGGUACGUGGAGAUAUAAAAAAAACAAUUAUGGGUAGUAUUUGAAUUUAAAUUUAAAUUUUAAAAAACAAAUGGACAAAUUAUGUACAAAUAUGUCAAAGCGAAAUUUCUUAUUUAUUAGUCACUGAGAUUAUAUACUUACUUUGAAAUGUAUGAAUAAUUAUUACGUAGUCUAACCUAACCUAUAUAUAUAUCGAAAAAUAAAAUGUUCCUAUAUUAUAUGUACCGAUCGCAAUAUUUACUAUUAUGCGGGCAUUCAUGAGGCAGGUGAUGGCGAUCUACCGAUUUAAUAUAUCAAGCAAUCUACCACGAAAUUCUUGUACAUACAUUUUUAUUGUUAGGUAUACAAAUUAAUUAGGCCAUCAAAUAAAAAUGCAUUAAAAAAAUAUGCAACUUCGAUUUAAUACAAUUUAAGUACGAUAAACUUUUGCAUAUCAAUUAAAAAUCGGAUGA